rnacentral:rRNA from 1 species
UACGAAGGGGGCUAGCGUUGUUCGGAAUUACUGGGCGUAAAGCGCGCGCAGGCGGCUAUCCAAGUCAGUGGUGAAAUCCUGGAGCUCAACUCCAGAACUGCCUUCGAUACUGGAGAGCUUGAGUCCGGGAGAGGUGAGUGGAACUGCGAGUGUAGAGGUGAAAUUCGUAGAUAUUCGCAAGAACACCAGUGGCGAAGGCGGCUCACUGGCCCGGUACUGACGCUGAGGUGCGAAAGCGUGGGGAGCAAACAGG